GAUGAACGCUGGCGGCGUGCCUAAUACAUGCAAGUCGAGCGAACAGACGAGGAGCUUGCUCCUCUGACGUUAGCGGCGGACGGGUGAGUAACACGUGGAUAACCUACCUAUAAGACUGGGAUAACUUCGGGAAACCGGAGCUAAUACCGGAUAAUAUAUUGAACCGCAUGGUUCAAUAGUGAAAGACGGUUUUGCUGUCACUUAUAGAUGGAUCCGCGCCGCAUUAGCUAGUUGGUAAGGUAACGGCUUACCAAGGCAACGAUGCGUAGCCGACCUGAGAGGGUGAUCGGCCACACUGGAACUGAGACACGGUCCAGACUCCUACGGGAGGCAGCAGUAGGGAAUCUUCCGCAAUGGGAAAGCCUGACGGAGCAACGCCGCGUGAGUGAUGAAGGUCUUCGGAUCGUAAAACUCUGUUAUUAGGGAAGAACAAAUGUGUAAGUAACUAUGCACGUCUUGACGGUACCUAAUCAGAAAGCCACGGCUAACUACGUG
rnacentral:rRNA from 1 species